rnacentral:rRNA from 1 species
CGAUUCCCUUAGUAGCGGCGAGCGAAACGGGAAGAGCCCAAACCAACAAGCUUGCUUGUUGGGGUUGUAGGACACUCUGUACGGAGUUACAAAGGACGACAUUAGACGAAUCAUCUGGAAAGAUGAAUCAAAGAAGGUAAUAAUCCUGUAGUCGAAAAUGUUGUCUCUCUUGAGUGGAUCCUGAGUACGACGGAGCACGUGAAAUUCCGUCGGAAUCUGGGAGGACCAUCUCCUAAGGCUAAAUACUCUCUAGUGACCGAUAGUGAACCAGUACCGUGAGGGAAAGGUGAAAAGCACCCCGGAAGGGGAGUGAAAUAGAACCUGAAACCGUGUGCUUACAAGUAGUCAGAGCCCGUUAAUGGGUGAUGGCGUGCCUUUUGUAGAAUGAACCGGCGAGUUACGAUUUGAUGCAAGGUUAAGCAGUAAAUGUGGAGCCGUAGCGAAAGCGAGUCUGAAUAGGGCGUUUAGUAUUUGGUCGUAGACCCGAAACCAGGUGAUCUACCCUUGGUCAGGUUGAAGUUCAGGUAACACUGAAUGGAGGACCGAACCGACUUACGUUGAAAAGUGAGCGGAUGAACUGAGGGUAGCGGAGAAAUUCCAAUCGAACCUGGAGAUAGCUGGUUCUCUCCGAAAUAGCUUUAGGGCUAGCCUCAAGUGAUGAUUAUUGGAGGUAGAGCACUGUUUGGACGAGGGGCCCCUCUCGGGUUACCGAAUUCAGACAAACUCCGAAUGCCAAUUAAUUUAACUUGGGAGUCAGAACAUGGGUGAUAAGGUCCGUGUUCGAAAGGGAAACAGCCCAGACCACCAGCUAAGGUCCCAAAAUAUAUGUUAAGUGGAAAAGGAUGUGGCGUUGCCCAGACAACUAGGAUGUUGGCUUAGAAGCAGCCAUCAUUUAAAGAGUGCGUAAUAGCUCACUAGUCGAGUGACACUGCGCCGAAAAUGUACCGGGGCUAAACAUAUUACCGAAGCUGUGGAUUGUCCUUUGGACAAUGGUAGGAGAGCGUUCUAAGGGCGUUGAAGCAUGAUCGUAAGGACAUGUGGAGCGCUUAGAAGUGAGAAUGCCGGUGUGAGUAGCGAAAGACGGGUGAGAAUCCCGUCCACCGAUUGACUAAGGUUUCCAGAGGAAGGCUCGUCCGCUCUGGGUUAGUCGGGUCCUAAGCUGAGGCCGACAGGCGUAGGCGAUGGAUAACAGGUUGAUAUUCCUGUACCACCUAUAAUCGUUUUAAUCGAUGGGGGGACGCAGUAGGAUAGGCGAAGCGUGCG